UAGGGAAUCUUCCGCAAUGGGCGAAAGCCUGACGGAGCAACGCCGCGUGAGUGAUGAAGGUCUUCGGAUCGUAAAACUCUGUUAUUAGGGAAGAACAAAUGUGUAAGUAACUAUGCACAUCUUGACGGUACCUAAUCAGAAAGCCACGGCUAACUACGUGCCAGCAGCCGCGGUAAUACGUAGGUGGCAAGCGUUAUCCGGAAUUAUUGGGCGUAAAGCGCGCGUAGGCGGUUUUUUAAGUCUGAUGUGAAAGCCCACGGCUCAACCGUGGAGGGUCAUUGGAAACUGGAAAACUUGAGUGCAGAAGAGGAAAGUGGAAUUCCAUGUGUAGCGGUGAAAUGCGCAGAGAUAUGGAGGAACACCAGUGGCGAAGGCGACUUUCUGGUCUGUAACUGACGCUGAUGUGCGAAAGCGUGGGUAGCAAACAGG
rnacentral:rRNA from 1 species